rnacentral:rRNA from 1 species
UAGGGAAUCUUCCGCAAUGGACGCAAGUCUGACGGAGCAACGCCGCGUGAGUGAAGAAGGAUUUCGGUUCGUAAAACUCUGUUGUUAGAGAAGAACAGCGCAUAGAGUAACUGUUAUGCGUGUGACGGUAUCUAACCAGAAAGCCACGGCUAACUACGUGCCAGCAGCCGCGGUAAUACGUAGGUGGCAAGCGUUGUCCGGAUUUAUUGGGCGUAAAGCGAGCGCAGGCGGUCAAUUAAGUCUGAUGUGAAAGCCCCCGGCUCAACCGGGGAGGGUCAUUGGAAACUGGUUGACUUGAGUGCAGAAGAGGAGAGUGGAAUUCCAUGUGUAGCGGUGGAAUGCGUAGAUAUAUGGAGGAACACCAGUGGCGAAGGCGACUCUCUGGUCUGUAACUGACGCUGAGGUUCGAAAGCGUGGGUAGCAAACAGG